AUUGAACGCUGGCGGCAUGCUUUACACAUGCAAGUCGAACGGCAGCACGGGGGCAACCUUGGUGGCGAGUGGCGAACGGGUGAGUAAUGCAUCGGAACGUACCCAGUCGUGGGGGACAACGUAGCGAAAGUUACGCUAAUACCGCAUGAGACCUGAGGGUGAAAGCAGGGGAUCGCAAGACCUUGCGCGAUUGGAGCGGCCGAUGUCAGAUUAGCUAGUUGGUGGGGUAAAGGCCCACCAAGGCGACGAUCUGUAGCGGGUCUGAGAGGAUGGUCCGCCACACUGGGACUGAGACACGGUCCAGACUCCUACGGGAGGCAGCAGUGAGGAAUAGUGCGCAAUGGGCGAAAGCCUGACGCAGCGACGCCGCGUGGAGGAUGAAGGUCUUCGGAUUGUAAACUUCUGUUAAGUGGGAAGAAAAGAUUGCUUUUAAUAGAAGCAGUUUAUGACGGUACCAUUAGAGAAAGCACCGGCUAAACUCGUGCCAGCAGCCGCCGUAACAC
rnacentral:rRNA from 1 species